rnacentral:rRNA from 1 species
GACGAACGCUGGCGGCGUGCCUAAUACAUGCAAGUAGAACGCACAGUUUAUACCGUAGCUUGCUACACCAUAGACUGUGAGUUGCGAACGGGUGAGUAACGCGUAGGUAACCUGCCUGGUAGCGGGGGAUAACUAUUGGAAACGAUAGCUAAUACCGCAUAAUAUUGAUUAUUGCAUGAUAAUUGAUUGAAAGAUGCUAUUGCAUCACUACCAGAUGGACCUGCGUUGUAUUAGCUAGUAGGUGAGGUAACGGCUCACCUAGGCGACGAUACAUAGCCGACCUGAGAGGGUGAUCGGCCACACUGGGACUGAGACACGGCCCAGUCUCCUACGGGAGGCAGCAGUAGGGAAUCUUCGGCAAUGGACGAAAGUCUGACCGAGCAACGCCGCGUGAGUGAAGAAGGUUUUCGGAUCGUAAAGCUCUGUUGUAAGAGAAGAACGGGUGUGAGAGUGGAAAGUUCACACUGUGACGGUAUCUUACCAGAAAGGGACGGCUAACUACGUG